UGCAGUCGAGCGGAUGAAGGGAGCUUGCUCCUGGAUUCAGCGGCGGACGGGUGAGUAAUGCCUAGGAAUCUGCCUGGUAGUGGGGGAUAACGUCCGGAAACGGGCGCUAAUACCGCAUACGUCCUGAGGGAGAAAGUGGGGGAUCUUCGGACCUCACGCUAUCAGAUGAGCCUAGGUCGGAUUAGCUAGUUGGUGGGGUAAAGGCCUACCAAGGCGACGAUCCGUAACUGGUCUGAGAGGAUGAUCAGUCACACUGGAACUGAGACACGGUCCAGACUCCUACGGGAGGCAGCAGUGGGGAAUAUUGGACAAUGGGCGAAAGCCUGAUCCAGCCAUGCCGCGUGUGUGAAGAAGGUCUUCGGAUUGUAAAGCACUUUAAGUUGGGAGGAAGGGCAGUAAGUUAAUACCUUGCUGUUUUGACGUUACCAACAGAAUAAGCACCGGCUAACUUCGUGCCAGCAGCCGCGGUAAUACGAAGGGUGCAAGCGUUAAUCGGAUAUACUGGGCGUAAAGCGCGCGUAGGUGGUUCAGCAAGUUGGAUGUGAAAUCCCCGGGCUCAACCUGGGAACUGCAUCCAAAACUACUGAGCUAGAGUACGGUAGAGGGUGGUGGAAUUUCCUGUGUAGC
rnacentral:rRNA from 2 species